UACGUAGGGUGCGAGCGUUAAUCGGAAUUACUGGGCGUAAAGCGUGCGCAGGCGGUUCGUUAAGACAGAUGUGAAAUCCCCCGGCUUAACCUGGGAACUGCGUCUGAUACUGGACGGCUUGAGUAUGGGAGAGGGAUGUAGAAUUCCAGGUGUAGCGGUGAAAUGCGUAGAUAUCUGGAGGAAUACCGGUGGCGAAGGCGGCAUCCUGGACCAUUACUGACGCUGAGGCGCGAAAGCUAGGGGAGCAAACGGGG
rnacentral:rRNA from 1 species